AAAACCCGCAUGAACUUUUUGGC
rnacentral:miRNA from 1 species